rnacentral:tRNA from 1 species
GGGGUUGUAGCUCAGUGGUAGAGCACAUGCUUAGCAUGUAUGAAGCUCUGGGUUUGAUCCUCAACACCACA